UACAGAGGUCUCAAGCGUUGUUCGGAUUCAUUGGGCGUAAAGGGUGCGUAGGCGGCGCGGUAAGUCGGGUGUGAAAUCUCGGAGCUUAACUCCGAAACUGCAUUCGAUACUGCCGUGCUUGAGGACUGGAGAGGAGACUGGAAUUUACGGUGUAGCGGUGAAAUGCGUAGAUAUGUGGAGGAAUACCGAUGGCGAAGGCAGCCCCCUGGGUCAAGACUGACGCUCAUGCACGAAAGCGUGGGGAGCAAACAGG
rnacentral:rRNA from 1 species